UCUUCAUCAGGGUCAAUGGAUUUGCUGAAAUCAGCACAAAGAGCAGUCAAAUUGUCAUAGUGUAUUUAUUCAUGUGGUGACUAUGCAUGAUGAAUCAUAGUCAAACAGAGAAUAUAAUCUGUCAAUAGGGAGUUAGACAGAGAUGAGUCCACUUGCUAUAAGGUACUGAUUAAUUAAAUUGUCAGAAAAAUGGCUUGCUGCGUACUGUGUUCAUUAAUCUAGCUCAUUUUAAUCAAGCGAGCAGAUAAUUAUCUAAACAAUUUAAUUGGAUGUGUUUUUGAGGUUGAAAGAAACGCCCGUUAGCGGCAGAAUCCCAGGUGUGUUUAAAAAAGCUUGAAACAAAGUGAACGUCACUAACUUUUUGAUCAUCUGUCCUGCUGAGAACGAGAUUCACAUAGCACGAUAAUGAUAAAUGGCAUCAGCACAUCAGCUAUCGGCAAAGUCUUUGUCUGAACCCGGCUUUAAAUACCAACUAUCCCUCCGCGCCGUAUUCUGCACUGCGUUAGAAUUUUAUCUUGACAAACGCUUCCGAUCUGAUUUCAAAUAACAUUCGAGUCACAACAACACCGUCACCACCUGAAGAUCUCGGACGCGUCUAGUCGCUGCGUGUGAACGUUUGCUCCUGACAGGGUCGGACCCAACCCCUGGUUUGGAAUCAAAACCGGGAGCCAAAACCGAGAGAGCCAAGAGAACAGGCAGAGGAACAAAUACCGAGCUCAUUCAUCGCACAACAGGCUGCAGGCGCGUAGCAAAGCAGAGGCACAAGGCGCUUUAGCUGCACGCUGCAGCUACAGAGCUCGGCAGAGACACUCCACUGAUUCGUGGCGUCAGCCAGACUGAC